UAUUGGUCAAUAGCCUAACGGCUGAACCAGCAACUUGGAGGAAUGUAUGGGGAAAACUGGUAAAAUGUGAUGUACCUAGUAAUAUUAGUAAUUAAUAUGAGAUUAACUAAGUUAAUUAAAAUUCUAAGUAGGUAUGUGAUAAUGACAAUAUCUGCUGAGGUCUUGACCAAGUCACGUGCCAGCAGUCGCGGUAAUACGUGGAAGACAAGUGUUAUUCAUCUUUAUUGGGUUUAAAGGGUACCUAGACGGUUAAUUAAGCAAUCAGAUGUACUAAUUAACUAGAGUUUAAUGUAAGAAGGAUUGAGUACGGUGAGAGUAGAGAUAAAAUUCUUUGAUACCACUUAGGAACUGGUAACGGUGAAGGCGACCUUCAAUGUAAAAACUGACGUUGAAGGACGAAGG
rnacentral:rRNA from 1 species